rnacentral:tRNA from 4 species
GCGCCAGUAGCUCAGUGGUAGAGCGCUACUCUUAUAAAGUAGUGGUCCUUGGUCCGAUUCCAAGCUGGCGCA